rnacentral:misc_RNA from 1 species
GAUGAAGAACGUAGUGAAAUGCGAUAAGUAAUGUGUAUUGCAGAAUUCAGUGAAUCAUCGAAUCUUUGAACGCACAUUGCGCCCCCUGGUAUUCCGGGGGGCAUGCCUGUUCGAGCGUCAUUACAACCCUCAAGCUCUGCUUGGUAUUGGGCCCCGCCAGUUCUGGCGGGCCCUAAAGUCAGUGGCGGUGCCUUCCGGCUCCGAGCGUAGUAAUUCUUCUCGCUCUGGAGACCCGGUUGUGUGCUUGCCAACAACCCCCAAUUUUUUAAGGUUGACCUCGGAUCAGGUAGGGAUACCCGCUGAACUUAAGCAUAUCAAUAAGCGGAGGA